UACGUAGGGUGCAAGCGUUGUCCGGAAUUAUUGGGCGUAAAGAGCUCGUAGGCGGUUUGUCGCGUCUGCUGUGAAAACUCGGGGCUUAACUCCGGGCCUGCAGUGGGUACGGGCAGACUAGAGUGCGGUAGGGGAGACUGGAAUUCCUGGUGUAGCGGUGAAAUGCGCAGAUAUCAGGAGGAACACCGGUGGCGAAAGCGCUCAUCUGGCCCAAUACUGACGCUGAGGCGCGAAAGCUAGGGGAGCAAACGGG
rnacentral:rRNA from 1 species